AACGCUAGCUACAGGCUUAACACAUGCAAGUCGAGGGGAAACGAUAGAGAAAGCUUGCUUUUUCUAGGCGUCGACCGGCGCACGGGUGAGUAACGCGUAUCCAACCUGCCCACCACUUGGGGAUAACCUUGCGAAAGUAAGACUAAUACCCAAUGACGUCUCUAGAAGACAUCUGAAAGGGAUUAAAGAUUUAUCGGUGAUGGAUGGGGAUGCGUCUGAUUAGCUUGUUGGCGGGGUAACGGCCCACCAAGGCGACGAUGGAUAGGGGUUCUGAGAGGAAGGUCCCCCACAUUGGAACUGAGACACGGUCCAAACUCCUACGGGAGGCAGCAGUGAGGGAUAUUGGUCAAUGGACGAGAGUCUGAACCAGCCAAGUAGCGUGAAGGAAGACUGCCCUUAGGGUUGUAAACUUCUUUUAUAAGGGAAUAACGUCAGUAACGAGUUACUGAUUGCAUGUACCUUAUGAAUAAGGAUCGGCUAACUCCGUGCCAGCAGCCGCGGUAAUACGGAAGGUCCGGGCGUUAUCCGGAUUUAUUGGGUUUAAAGGGAGCGUAGGCCGUCGUUUAAGCGUGUUGUGAAAUGCCGCGGCUCAACCGUGGCACUGCAGCGCGAACUGGAUGACUUGAGUUCGCGGGAGGUAGACGGAAUUCGUGGUGUAGCGGUGAAAUGCUUAGAUAUCACGAAGAACUCCGAUUG
rnacentral:rRNA from 1 species